GGACCCGCACAAGCGGUGGAGCAUGUGGUUUAAUUCGAUGCAACGCGAAAAAAGCCUUACCUACUCUUGACAUACUUGGAAGCUCUUGUAAUGAGAGUGUGCCUUUGGAACCAAGAUACAGGUGCUGCAUGGCUGUCGUCAGCUCGUGUCGUGAGAUGUUCCGUUAAGUCGGAUAACGAGCGCAACCCUUACCCUUAUUUGCCAGCGAUUCGGUCGGGAACUAUAAGGGGACUGCCGGUGAUAAACCGGAGGAAGGUGAGGACGACGUCAAGUAUCAUGGCCCUUACGAGUAGGGCUACACACGUGCUACAAUGGCAUCUACAGUGGGUUAAUCCCCAAAAAGAUGUCU
rnacentral:rRNA from 1 species